UACAGAGACUGCAAGCGUUAUUCGGAUUCACUGGGCGUAAAGCGUGCGCAGGCGGUUGUGCAAGACAGAUGUGAAAUCCCCGGGCUUAACCUGGGAACUGCAUUUGUGACUGCACGGCUAGAGUGUGUCAGAGGGGGGUAGAAUUCCACGUGUAGCAGUGAAAUGCGUAGAUAUGUGGAGGAAUACCGAUGGCGAAGGCAGCCCCCUGGGUNUAACACUGACGCUCAUGCACGAAAGCGUGGGGAGCAAACAGGAUUAGAACC
rnacentral:rRNA from 1 species